ensembl:snoRNA
AUCCAAGGUGAUUCCCUCUCAAGGAGACAUCCACUGCCCCUCUCAGGAAAGUAGCGACUUGGAAUAGAAUCUUGCAUGGCUAAGGUCUUUGGGGAACAGAGAUGCUUAUUUCCUCUGCCUUCCUUAGCUGCCUACGUGG